rnacentral:rRNA from 1 species
GACAGAGGGUGCAAACGUUGUUCGGAAUUACUGGGCGUAGAGCGCGUGUAGGCGGCCCUGCAAGUCGGGUGUGAAAUCCCAUGGCUCAACCAUGGAAGUGCACUCGAAACUGCAGGGCUAGAGUCCUGGAGAGGAAGGUGGAAUGCUUGGUGUAGAGGUGAAAUUCGUAGAUAUCAAGCGGAACACCGGUGGCGAAGGCGGCCUUCUGGACAGUGACUGACGCUGAGACGGCGGAAAAGCGUGGGGAGCAAACAGG